CGUCCGCCUCCGCGCGGCCGCAUUGUCUGCCCCGGCCGCGGAGCCCCCGCGGCCCCGGCCCGGCCCCUUUGUUCGGGGGGGAGCCGGGCCAUUGUCCUGCCCGCCGGCCCCGGGCAGCGCGGGGGUUUCAAGUUUCCCCUGUUAACUGCCGUGGCUAGAGAAGUAACACCGAGUUGUAGAGCUGGGAGUCAGGCACCGAGGCACUCAGUUUACCGUACUGCACAGCAGGAACGCUCAUGGAAUCAGCUCCAAAAAAAGCUCCAUGUCACACAGCUGCUCCCAGCGCAGAGGAACACCUUCCCCAGGAGAUGGAGACCCUACAGUACAAGUCACCAAAUAUCACCAUCUGGGAAGAAAAUUAAGCUGGUUGAUCACCUUCCAACAGCUGGUCUGCAGCACAUCCCAAACUUGAGGGGCUCUGUCAGGGAGAACACUACCUUUGAAACUUUGGGUCUGAGUGUCCCUGAGGGGCAGAGAUGUUUGAA